GGAGGGAUCGCAUAGUGGUCUAGUGCACCCGCCUGCUAAGCGGGACCGCGCAAGCGGACAUGGGUUCGAAUCCCAUUCCCUCCGCCA
rnacentral:tRNA from 1 species